CGGAGGAUCCAAGCGUUAUCCGGAUUUAUUGGGUUUAAAGGGUGCGUAGGCGGCUUUUUAAGUCAGGGUGAAAGACGGUGGCUCAACCAUCGCAGUGCCUUUGAUACUGAAGAGCUUGAUUACACUAGAGGUAGGCGGAAUGUGACAAGUAGCGGUGAAAUGCAUAGAUAUGUCACAGAACACCAAUUGCGAAGGCAGCUUACUAUGGUGUCAAUGACGCUGAGGCACGAAAGCGUGGGGAUCAAACAGGAUUAGAUACCCCGGUAGUCCACGCCCUAAACGAUGAAUACUCGAUGUUAGCGAUAUACAGUUAGCGUCAAAGCGAAAGCGUUAAGUAUUCCACCUGGGGAGUACGCCCGCAAGGGUG
rnacentral:rRNA from 1 species